rnacentral:tRNA from 1 species
UGAGGAUUAGGCAAGCGGUAUGCCAGCAGCUUUUGAAGCUGUCGAUCCGGGGUUCAAAUCCCUGAUCCUCAACCA